GCCACUGUAGUGUAGCGGUAAACACUGUCCCGGCUUGUCAGAAGACGUAGGUUCGAAUUCCAUCAGUGGCA